rnacentral:rRNA from 1 species
GAUGAACGCUAGCGGCGGGCUUAAUACAUGCAAGUCGAGGGACAGCACAGGUAGCAAUACCGGGUGGUAACCGGCAAACGGGUGCGGAACACGUACACAACCUUCCUUUAAGUGGGGGAUAGCCCAGAGAAAUUUGGAUUAAUACCCCGUAAUAUAGUUGAAUGGCAUCAUUUGAUUAUUAUAGCUACGGCGCUUAAUGAUGGGUGUGCGGCUGAUUAGAUAGUUGGCGGGGUAACGGCCCACCAAGUCUACGAUCAGUAGCUGAUGUGAGAGCAUGAUCAGCCACACGGGCACUGAGACACGGGCCCGACUCCUACGGGAGGCAGCAGUAAGGAAUAUUGGUCAAUGGACGCAAGUCUGAACCAGCCAUGCCGCGUGAAGGAUUAAGGUCCUCUGGAUUGUAAACUUCUUUUAUUUGGGACGAAAAAGGGCCUUUCUAGGUCAACUGACGGUACCAGAUGAAUAAGCACCGGCUAACUCCGUGCCAGCCGCCGCGGUAAGAC